rnacentral:rRNA from 1 species
GUACACUCCUGCGGGAGGCAGCAGUGGGGAAUAUUGCACAAUGGGCGGAAGCCUGAUGCAGCAACGCCGCGUGCGGGAUGACGGCCUUCGGGUUGUAAACCGCUUUCGCCUGUGACGAAGCGUGAGUGACGGUAAUGGGUAAAGAAGCACCGGCUAACUACGUGCCAGCAGCCGCGGUGAUACGUAGGGUGCGAGCGUUGUCCGGAUUUAUUGGGCGUAAAGGGCUCGUAGGUGGUUGAUCGCGUCGGAAGUGUAAUCUUGGGGCUUAACCCUGAGCGUGCUUUCGAUACGGGUUGACUUGAGGAAGGUAGGGGAGAAUGGAAUUCCUGGUGGAGCGGUGGAAUGCGCAGAUAUCAGGAGGAACACCAGUGGCGAAGGCGGUUCUCUGGGCCUUUCCUGACGCUGAGGAGCGAAAGCGUGGGGAGCGAACAGGCUUAGAUACCCCUGUAGUCCCAUGAU